AAAAAGACAAACCCUGGGUUUCCGUGUCCAACUUUAACUGUUCGCCUUAUAUGAAUUUUUUUUAUAAUUCGUAUUUUUAUUGUUGUUAGAUGAUAAACAUGAUUAAUAUUUUAUGCGUGACUUGUCUUUUUAAUUUUUUUCAUAAUUUUUUCAAAUAAGACGGACGGUCAAACAUUGGGCACGGAAUCUAGGGUUUGUCUUUUU
rfam:Oryza sativa Japonica Group DNA, chromosome 11, cultivar: Nipponbare, complete sequence.